UACGUAAGGGGCAAGCGUUGUCCGGAAUUAUUGGGCGUAAAGAGCUCGUAGGCGGCUUAGUAAGUCGGCGGUGAAAUACCGAGGCUCAACCUCGGCACUGCCGUCGAUACUGCUAUGGCUAGAGUUUGGUAGAGGAGAACGGAAUUCCCGGUGUAGAGGUGAAAUUCGUAGAUAUCGGGAGGAACACCGGUGGCGAAGGCGGCGACCUGGGUCGAUACUGACGCUGAGGUGCGAAAGCGUGGGGAGCAAACAGG
rnacentral:rRNA from 1 species